rnacentral:lncRNA from 1 species
AGGGAGCUUUUGCUCUUUUGUUCUAGGACAGGCUAAAGGCUCGAGUGAAGACAGAACUUUCCUCUUGCUCUUUGCCAGUGUCCACGCACUCUCAUUCGGCUGGAGCCACCCAUCGGAUCAGGAAGAAGCUGCCCUGCGGCCCAGGCCAGGCCUGCUCUCCACCAGGGCAUCUCCAGUAUUUCCAUUUGGCUUCAGUGUUCUGAUUCUAAGCUGGCCCUGGCGGAUUUAGAAGAGCGCCUUGGAAACAUUUCUGUGUCUGCGGGACAAUCCGCCUGGGCACGGGGCUCUGGCAAAUCUCUUCUUAGCCUUCAAAUGCCAAGCGUGCACUGACUGUACAUAACAGAACAUGACAGCGAAAGCCAUAGACUUCUCACAAGUGAAGAGUCUGAGAACAUUUGGAAUGUUGACAGUCGUUCAUGGAUAUGUAAGUACAUCUCUGCAGUAGCACUUUUCCCGAUAGGUAUUAACCAU